rnacentral:rRNA from 1 species
UAGGGAAUAUUGCACAAUGGGCGAAAGCCUGAUGCAGCAACGCCGCGUGCGCGAUGAAGGCCUUCGGGUUGUAAAGCGCUUUUCGGGGAGAAGAGGAAGGACGGUAUCCCCGGAAUAAGGCUCGGCUAACUACGUGCCAGCAGCCGCGGUAAAACGUAGGAGCCAAGCGUUAUCCGAAUUCACUGGGCGUAAAGCGCGUGCAGGCGGCCUGGUAAGUUGGAUGUGAAAUCUCCCGGCUCAACUGGGAGAGGUCGUUCAAGACUGUCAGGCUAGAGGGCGACAGAGGGAGGUGGAAUUCCGGGUGUAGUGGUGAAAUGCGUAGAUAUCCGGAGGAACACCAGAGGCGAAGGCGACCUCCUGGGUCGUACCUGACGCUGAGAUGCGAAAGCUAGGGGAGCGAACG